GCUUAACCCACUGAGCCACCCAGGCGCCCUUAUUAGAAAAUUCUAUUUGGUGAUGGUAUUUGCCUCCCUGCUGAUCACUUACACGUAUGGCAUCCUUUUUUCCCUUGUUCACAUCUUUCCUCCAUUUUCCCAGUCCUGAUCUGAAAAGCAACCAUGACAAGAGGGAGCAUCAGGUAGAACGGUCCAUUGCAGGGGACUGCAAACAUGACUAAGGAUGGCUUAGCAGAAAGUCAAAUGGGAAAGGA